UACGUUUCUGGCCUCGUGGAUAAGGAAAGACUGAGUAUUAGGGAGAGGCAGUGUUCUUAUAGGAUGUGAAAGGAAAUAAUGGGAUACACUGAGCAUGCCUACGCAUCCCUCGAAGACGUCACUCUAUCUGGGAGCCAAAAGCAUAGUGAAACUGAAGCCAAAAUGCCACUAAACAAAAGAUAAAAUCUUGGAUGAAAUACUCUGGCCUUUACUGUCAUUUGUGAGAAGUGCUGUCUCUUCAUGUGGAGCUAUGAGCAAAAAGUAGUACAGUGUGUGCUUACCAAAAGCAGCCCCAGCCUUCAAGCAGGGUGACUGAAGAAAAGCCCUUUCAGUACCU